GCCGAGCAAGGUGGUGCAUGCCUGUAAUCCCAGCAACGUGGGAGGCUGAGGCAGGAGGAUCGCGAGUUCAAAGCCAGCCUCAGCAGACUAGCAAGGUACUUAGCAACUCAGCAAAACUCUAUCUCCUGUCUUUA
rnacentral:sRNA from 1 species